rnacentral:rRNA from 1 species
GACGAACGCUGGCGGCGUGCUUAACACAUGCAAGUCGAACGGUAAGGCCCUUCGGGGUACACGAGUGGCGAACGGGUGAGUAACACGUGGGUGAUCUGCCCUGCACUUCGGGAUAAGCCUGGGCAACUGGGUCUAAUACCGGAUAGGACCACUGCCUGCAUGGGUGGUGGUGGAAAGAUUUUGCGGUGUGGGAUGGGCCCGCGGCCUAUCAGCUUGUUGGUGGGGUGAUGGCCUACCAAGGCGACGAGUGGUAGCCGGCCUGAGAGGGUGACCGGCCACACUGGGACUGAGAUACGGCCCAGACUCCUACGGGAGGCAGCAGUGGGGAAUAUUGCACAAUGGGCGCAAGCCUGAUGCAGCGACGCCGCGUGAGGGAUGACGGCCUUCGGGUUGUAAACCUCUUUCAGCACCGACGAAGCGCAAGUGACGGUAGGUGCAGAAGAAGGACCGGCCAACUACGUGCCAGCCGCCGCAGUAA